rnacentral:rRNA from 1 species
CAGGANUUCCCAGUGUAGCGGUGAAAUGCGUAGAUAUUGGGAAGAACAUCGGUGGCGAAGGCGUGCUACUGGACCGUAACUGACACUCAGGGACGAAAGCUAGGGGAGCGAAAGGGAUUAGAUACCCCUGUAGUCCUAGCUGUAAACGAUGGAAACUAGGUGUGGCUUGUAUCGACCCGAGCCAUGCCGUAGCUAACGCGUUAAGUUUCCCGCCUGGGGAGUACGCACGCAAGUGUGAAACUCAAAGGAAUUGACGGGGGCCCGCACAAGCGGUGGAGUAUGUGGUUUAAUUCGAUGCAACGCGAAGAACCUUACCAGGGCUUGACAUGUCGCGAAUCUCGGUGAAAGCUGAGAGUGCCUUCGGGAGCGCGAACACAGGUGGUGCAUGGCUGUCGUCAGCUCGUGUCGUGAGAUGUUGGGUUAAGUCCCGCAACGAGCGCAACCCUUAUUUUUAGUUGCCAGCAUUAAGAUGGGCACUCUAGAAAGACUGCCGGUGACAAACCGGAGGAAGGUGAGGACGACGUCAAGUCAGCAUGCCCCUUACGCCCUGGGCUACACACGUACUACAAUGGUUGGGACAAAGGGCAGCGACUCCGCAAGGAAUAGCGAAUCUCAUCAAACCCAGCCUCAGUUCAGAUUGCAGGCUGCAACUCGCCUGCAUGAAGGAGGAAUCGCUAGUAAUCGCAGGUCAGCAUACUGCGGUGAAUUCGUUCCCGGGCCUUGUACACACCGCCCGUCACACCAUGGAAGCUGGUCACGCCCGAAGUAGUUACCCUAACCUUUCGAGGAGGGGGAUUCCUAAGGCAGGGCUAGUGACUGGGGUGAAGUCGUAACAAGGUAACC